GAGGGACAGCUGUGAGGGGGAAGGGAGGCAUGUGGCCCUCCCUGGAGCUCCACAGGCCCUGAAGGCUUCCCGGGCCUGGGGUCAGGGCUGCUUCUCACCCUCAGCCACCCACUGAGUCCCAUAUGCUCAGUCCUGGGUGGGGCCCUUGUCACUCUGGUCCCAGCUCCCUUCAACCUGCCCACAGGCUCAGCAGCUGGAGUGGGUGAAGAGCCGCUAUCCUGGCCUGUACUCCCGCCUCCAGGAGUUUGCGUGCCGUGGGCAGUUUGUGCCUGUGGGGGGCACCUGGGUGGAGAUGGAUGGGAACCUGCCCAGUGGAGAGGCCAUGGUGAGGCAGUUUCUGCAGGGCCAGAACUUCUUUCUGCAGGAGUUUGGGAAGAUGUGCUCCGAGUUCUGGCUGCCAGACACCUUUGGCUACUCAGCACAGCUCCCCCAGAUCAUGCACGGCUGUGGCAUCAGGCGCUUUCUCAGCCAGAAAUUGAGCUGGAAUUUGGUGAACUCUUUCCCACACCAUACAUUUUUCUGGGAGGGGCUGGAUGGCUCCCGUGUACUGGUCCACUUCCCACCUGGCGACUCCUAUGGGAUGCAGGGCAG
rnacentral:sRNA from 1 species